UACGUAGGGGGCAAGCGUUGUCCGGAUUUAUUGGGCGUAAAGAGCGUGUAGGCGGCCAAGCAGGUCAGCUGUGAAAACUCGAGGCUCAACCUCGAGACGUCGGUUGAAACCGCUUGGCUAGAGUCCGGAAGAGGAGAGUGGAAUUCCCGGUGUAGCGGUGAAAUGCGCAGAUAUCGGGAAGAACACCCGUGGCGAAGGCGGCUCUCUGGGGCGGUACUGACGCUGAGACGCGAAAGCGUGGGGAGCGAACAGG
rnacentral:rRNA from 1 species